rnacentral:tRNA from 1 species
GGAAGGGUGGCCGAGAGGUUUAAGGCAAUGACUUGCUAAGUCAUCGUACAUAUUUGUACCAUGGGUUCAAAUCCCAUUCUUUCCG